AAGCGGAGGAACAUGUGGUUAAUUCGAUGAUACGCGAGGAACCUUACCUGGGCUUAAAUGUAGAGUGCAUUUUUUAGAGAUAGAAAUUCCCUUCGGGGCUUUCUGCAAGGUGCUGCAUGGUUGUCGUCAGCUCGUGCCGUGAGGUGUCGGGUUAAGUCCCAUAACGAGCGCAACCCUUAUCGUUAGUUGCCAGCUGGUAAAGCAGGGGACUCUAGCGAAACUGCCACCGUAAGGUGAGAGGAAGGUGGGGAUGACGUCAAAUCAGCACGGCCCUUAUGUCCAGGGCUACACACGUGUUACAAUGGGCGAGACAGAGCGACGCGAAGCCGCGAGGUGGAGCAAAUCGCAGAAAAUCGCCCUCAGUUCGGAUUGGAGUCUGAAACCCGACUCCAUGAAGGUGGAAUCGCUAGUAAUCGCGCAUCAGCAUGGCGCGGUGAAUACGUUCCCGGGCCUU
rnacentral:rRNA from 1 species